rfam:Musa acuminata subsp. malaccensis Doubled-haploid Pahang (DH-Pahang) genomic chromosome, chr4
AAAGGAAAGCGAUAUUGGUGAGGUUCAAUCCGAUGAUUGGCUCUACUUGUAUCAGUAAACCAGUCUCAGAUUGAGCCGCGCCAAUAUCUCUUUCAUUCUU